GCCCACGUAGCUCAGUUGGCAGAGCCGUCGCCCUGUAAGCGACUGGUCGUCCGUUCGAUUCGGACCGUGGGCUCCA
rnacentral:tRNA from 1 species